UUCUCUCUCUCUAGAAUCUAACUCUCUCGUUUUUCUUUCUCUCUAUGCAUUCUUGAGGUUUUCUGAAGACAUCGAAGAAGGGAAUGAAGAUCUUCAACAUGCAGUACAAAAAAUGUAGAAAGGAGAGGAAGAGGAACAAAAGGAUUAUAGUGGUUUGGUCUUGAAGACCUAUGUCCACUCUAUAAAGGUAUGAAGAUCUCUUUAUUCAAGCUUUUAAGGUGUAUAUUACAAAUCUCUUUUCUCUCUGAUUCAAACUGAUGUUUCAGCAUACAUUGAUUGAUUUAAUAGUUCACUAUAUUUAUAAGCAGAGAUUUAGUUUACUACAACUGUUGGUUUGUUUCAGCUAAUUUUUCUAACAGUUGUUUCUGUUUCUGCUGAGAGGUGAGUUGGAAGAGGAAGUUUCGACUGGAUCUUGAGCUAUUCAGAGGCACAGAAUUGCGGAGAUGUUACAUGAAGCAGCAAAUUAUCUCACUCGAUCACCACAAUCCAAAGAAGAAAGAUCGCCGCAAAGAUGGAUGCGUCAAUGCACAAUGCACACGACAGCGUAAAUUUGGAAUAUGCGUUGACGCAAUGCAAGAAUUGCGAUCAUAGGAAAUCAUUGGUCGAGCAUAACUUCACCGCAAGGCUUUGCGAUGAUUGUGUUCACAAAUAUUCAUCCGAGAAGGAUCACCGCAAUUUGGUCAGUGCAACAUGGUGAACGCAUCUGGGUGAAAGGCUAAUUAAUCGCGUUGGGACAGAAAGCUGAUGAUAGUCGAAUCCGAAUUUAAGUUGACAGCUGAUAA